rnacentral:sRNA from 1 species
UUUACCUAUAAAAGCCUACGUGAUGAC